UCGAGAAUCUUCGGCAAUAGACGCAAGUCUGACCGAGCGACGCCGCGUGCGGGAUGAAGGCCUUCGGGUUGUAAACCGCUGUCAGAGGGGAUGAAAUUUUGACAUAUCCUCAGAGGAAGGACGGGCUAAGUUCGUGCCAGCAGCCGCGGUAAGACGAACCGUCCAAACGUUAUUCGGAAUUACUGGGCUUAAAGGGUGCGUAGGCGGCCUGUUAAGUUGGGUGUGAAAUCCCUCGGCUCAACCGAGGAACUGCGCCCAAAACUAGCAGGCUUGAGGGAGUCAGAGGUGAGCGGAACUCAGGGUGGAGCGGUGAAAUGCGUUGAUAUCCUGGGGAACACCGGUUGCGAAAGCGGCUCACUGGGGCUCUACUGACGCUGAGGCACGAAAGCUAGGGGAGCAAACGG
rnacentral:rRNA from 1 species